UGUGUAGGCGGUUCUCCAAGUUUGGUGUGAAAUCUCCCGGCUCAACCGGGAGGGUGCGCCGAAAACUGGAGGGCUGGAGUGCGGGAGGGGAGAGUGGAAUUCCUGGUGUAGCGGUGAAAUGCGUAGAUAUCAGGAGGAACACCGGUGGUGUAGACGGCUCUCUGGACCGUAACUGACGCUGAGACACGAAAGCGUGGGUAGCAAACAGGAUUAGAUACCCUGGUAGUCCACGCCCUAAACGAUGCAUAUUUGGUGUGGGUCAUUCAGUUGAUCCGUGCCGGAGCUAACGCGUUAAAUAUGCCGCCUGGGGAGUACAGUCGCAAGGCUGAA
rnacentral:rRNA from 1 species